rnacentral:rRNA from 1 species
ACAUGCAAGUCGAACGCGAAAGUCCCGCAAGGGAUCAGUAGAGUGGCAAACGGGUGAGUAACGCGUGGGUGACCUGCCUUCGAGCGGGGGAUAACGUUCCGAAAGGGACGCUAAUACCGCAUAACAUCCUGCUUUUUAAGAGGUGGAGAUCAAAGCCGGGGAUCGCAAGACCUGGCACUCGAAGAGGGGCCCGCGUCCGAUUAGCUAGUUGGUGGGGUAAUGGCUCACCAAGGCUCCGAUCGGUAUCCGGCCUGAGAGGGCGGACGGACACACUGGGACUGAGACACGGCCCAGACUCCUACGGGAGGCAGCAGUGGGGAAUUGUUCGCAAUGGGCGCAAGCCUGACGACGCAACGCCGCGUGGAGGAUGAAGAUCUUCGGGUCGUAAACUCCUUUCGAUCGAGACGAACGGCUUCCGGAUGAACAAUCCGGGAGAGUGACGGUACCGAGAGAAGAAGCCCCGGCUAACUCCGUGCCAGCAGCCGCGGUAAUACGGGGGGGGCAAGCGUUGUUCGGAAUUACUGGGCGUAAAGGGCUCGUAGGUGGCCAACUAAGUCAGACGUGAAAUCCCUCGGCUUAACCGGGGAACUGCGUCUGAUACUGGAUGGCUUGAGGUUGGGAGAGGGACGCGGAAUUCCAGGUGUAGCGGUGAAAUGCGUAGAUAUCUGGAGGAACACCGGUGGCGAAGGCGGCGUCCUGGACCAAUUCUGACACUGAGGAGCGAAAGCCAGGGGAGCAAACGGGAUUAGAUACCCCGGUAGUCCUGGCCCUAAACGAUGAAUGCUUGGUGUGGCGGGUAU